rnacentral:rRNA from 1 species
CUGGAGACAGGUGCUGCAUGGCUGUCGUCAGCUCGUGUCGUGAGAUGUUGGGUUAAGUCCCGCAACGAGCGCAACCCUUGCCUUUAGUUGCCAGCAGUUCGGCUGGGCACUCUAAAGGGACUGCCGGUGUUAAACCGGAGGAAGGUGGGGAUGACGUCAAGUCCUCAUGGCCUUUAUGACCAGGGCUACACACGUACUACAAUGGCCGAUACAAAGGGCAGCGACACUGCGAGGUGAAGCCAAUCCCGUAAAAUCGGUCUCAGUCCGGAUUGGAGUCUGCAACUCGACUCCAUGAAGUUGGAAUCGCUAGUAAUCGUGGAUCAGCAUGCCACGGUGAAUACGUUCCCGGGCCUU